GGGUUAAAUUAAUAGUGAAUAAAAAUUAAUAAAAGAAAUUUUAAUAUUAAAAAGAAAAAUGGGGGUUUAAGUAUUUUUAAUAGAAAAAAUAAAUAGUUUUAUAGUUAAUUAUUACUGUAAAGGAAAUUAUAAAUAAUUGAAAGUUAAUUGAUGGGAAAGUAAAUUUUAUUUAUUGUAUCUUGUGUAUCAGAGUUUAUUAAAUAAUAAUAAUUUAUUUAAAUAAAUCUCGAAUUUAAAAGAGUUAAUUAAUUAAAAAAGUUAAUGUUGAAUAAUUAUUUUUAAUAAUUAAUUAGAAAUGAAAUGUUAAUCGUUUUUAAAUAUAUCUAGUUUUUUUAGAAAAAAAUUUAAUUUUAAAUUUAAAUAAUUUUAUAAUUUUUUAAUUAAUUAUAAAAAUUUAAAAUUUAAUAUUUUAGGGGAUAAGCUUUAAAUUAAAUUUUUAUAAUAAAUUAAAUAGUAUUAAAAUUUUUAAAAUUUAUAUUGUUUAAAAAUUAUAAUUUAUUAUAAAAAAUUUUAAUAAAAAUAAAAUUUAAUAAAAUUUAAAUUUUUAUAAAAAUAUAAUUUUUAAUAAAAUAAAAUUAGUAAUAAUGAUAAAAUUAGUAUAAUAAAUAAAAAUAUAAANUUAAAAUUAAAUUUANAWGUAAAAUAAAKKAAUUCGGCAAAUAAUUAUAUUCACUUGUUUAUCAAAAACAUGUCUUUUUGAAAAUAAUUUAAAGUCUAAUCUGCCCACUGAUAAAUAUAUUAAAGGGCUGCAGUAUAUUGACUGUACAAAGGUAGCAUAAUCAUUAGUCUUUUAAUUGAAGACUUGUAUGAAAGAUUUGAUGAAAUAUAAACUGUCUCUAUUUUAUAAAUUUAAAAGUUAAUUUUUUAGUUAAAAAGCUAAAAUAUAAUUAAAAGACGAGAAGACCCUAUAGAGUUUUAUAUUUAUAUUGUUUAAUUUAAAUUAUAAAAAUAAAUAAAUUAAAUAAUUUAAAUAUUGUGUUGGGGUGACAAAAAAAUUUAAUAAACUUUUUUAAUAAUAUACAUAAAUAAGUGAUUUAUUGAUCCAUUAUUAGUGAUUAAAAGAAAAAAUUACCUUAGGGAUAACAGCGUAAUAUUUUUUUUUAGUACAAAUAAAAAAAAAAGUUUGCGACCUCGAUGUUGGAUUAAGAUAAAAUUUAAAUGCAAAAGUUUAAAAUUUUGAUCUGUUCGAUCAUUAAAAUCUUACAUGAUCUGAGUUCAAACCGGUGUAAGCCAGGUUGGUUUCUAUCUUUAAUAAAAUAAAAUAUUUUAGUACGAAAGGAUCAAAUAUUUAAAAUAAUUUUAGUUUAAAGAAUAUUAUUAAUUUUAUAUUA
rnacentral:rRNA from 1 species